rnacentral:rRNA from 1 species
UACGGGGGGAGCAAGCGUUGUUCGGAUUUACUGGGCGUAAAGGGCGCGUAGGCGGCCUCUGCAAGUCGACUGUGAAAUCUCCGGGCUUAACCCGGAACGGUCAGCCGAUACUGCAGGGCUAGAGUGCAGAAGGGGCAACUGGAAUUCUCGGUGUAGCGGUGAAAUGCGUAGAUAUCGAGAGGAACACCUGCGGCGAAGGCGGGUAGCUGGGCCGACACUGACGCUGAUGCGCGAAAGCCAGGGGAGGCGAACGGG